rnacentral:rRNA from 1 species
UGGGGAAUUUUGGACAAUGGGGGAAACCCUGAUCCAGCCAUCCCGCGUGUGCGAUGAAGGCCUUCGGGCUGUAAAGCACUUUUGGCAGGAAAGAAACGUCGCGGGUUAAUACCCCGCGAAACUGACGGUACCUGCAGAAUAAGCACCGGCUAACUACGUGCCAGCAGCCGCGGUAAUACGUAGGGUGCAAGCGUUAAUCGGAAUUACUGGGCGUAAAGCGUGCGCAGGCGGUUCGGAAAGAAAGAUGUGAAAUCCCAGAGCUUAACUUUGGAACUGCAUUUUUAACUACCGGGCUAGAGUGUGUCAGAGGGAGGUGGAAUUCCGCGUGUAGCAGUGAAAUGCGUAGAUAUGCGGAGGAACACCGAUGGCGAAGGCAGCCUCCUGGGAUAACACUGACGCUCAUGCACGAAAGCGUGGGGAGCAAACAGGAUUAGAUACCCUGGUAGUCCACGCCCUAAACGAUGUCAACUAGCUGUUGGGGCCUUCGGGCCUUGGUAGCGCAGCUAACGCGUGAAGUUGACCGCCUGGGGAGUACGGUCGCAAGAUU